AUGCACAAUUUGACCUUGAAACUGCUACCACAUCCUCUAACUAAAGCUUACUCCUGGCAGUUAGCUGCAGAGGGACCUGAAGUUAGAUGAAGUGGGAUCAGCAUCUUAAGGAUGAUGCAGGUGCUCACACAACACACUGACAAGCUGCAUCUCAUUAUCAUUGAAAUGCCAACAGUAAAGCCUAUAUUCCUGAUGCUAAAAGGAUGCCCUCCUGCAUUUCUUAUAGCUCGUUUGAAUGACUGUAGCUAUAUUCUAAGAUGCCAUCCCAGUGUCAGGUUGUAAGCAGUCAGCUGCCUUUGGAAUAAAAGGAGAGUGACAGUUUGCAUUACUGUCAUUAUUAAAGCAGGGAUACAAGCAAAACAGCAGACUGAAGGAUAGUUAGGGCCUCUCUCACUGCAGCAGUAAAUGGCUUUGGAGACAGAUUAAAAAAGCUUUAAAAGAGUUCCCUGGGAGACUGUGCUUGUAGACAACAAAAAGGAAAACUGUACAGAUCCAGUCUCAUGAUGUAAUAAUACAACUUUGCCAUGAAAGAGUCAUCUCAAAAUCUCCAGUUCAGUUCAUGCAAAGCUGUAUGUGAAAAGCUCUAUAAUGCAAACUAUUACUGUGCUUUGUGAGAUCUUCCCUUUUCAGCCAGGGAAGUCAAAGCUGAAUGAAUCAUGAACAAAACCUGGAAAUUCCCCAAGUAUAUGCAUCACCACCAGGCCCAGUCACAAACCAUCUGGAUACUGUUGAUGAUUAACCCUCUCUGGUCAGGAAGCACUGUCCCUGAGUCAUCUGCCAGUGUACCUUUGGUAAGACCUUAUGGGUCUGAAACCCCGAAUCUGAGGAAAGAUGGAUCCAAAAUGUUGUUUGCAGCCACUGUCUCAGAGAAGAGCAAUGGUAUUUGUCAUGCAGGGGCAGCGGCAGACUUCCUAGAGGAGCUUGUGCAGCCUGCAAAUGUCACAAUUCCUAGCAUGAAACAGGGACAUUGCUUUCCUAUCUUUCCAUAUGUCCUCAUUAAUGCAGAGAGGAGAUGCAUUCAGCAAGUUAGGCUGGGAAAGAGGAGUCACUAUCCCAGACUACAGUAAUGUGUGGAAUUACUUUUUAAAAGCCUAUGUGUCCACAGAGUUUGAUUCAAAGAACACUGUCAGCUUUGAAGACCUUUGAACAGGGACCAUAAAGGUAGAAUUAUAGAAGUUCUUGAAACAAAAAUAUCUAGUUGUCCUCUUUGAGUAUUGGAUGGUAUCUAAAUGUUUUUCCUCUUUUUUCUCUCCUCAGUCAUUUUAAUAAAUCUACCAAAAAUAGGUUUGUGCA
rnacentral:lncRNA from 1 species